GUACCAAUACUGCAAGAGCCUCUGGUUUUCAAGAGAACCCCAAACAUUUACUCUUAGUGCAAAUUUUAAUUUGAAUUUGAAUAAAUUUCAAAUCAUCUAAAAUCAUGGUCUAACAUACAUUUCUUCUAUAAAACGAUGGAGCCUUUUAAAAACUGGAAUUAAGCCUUUAAUAAAUUUAUAGAAAUUCACCCAUUUAAUAGAGCAGAAAGAAAUUGUUGAUUAACCAGCUUAGAGCUCUACACUUGUUAUUAUUGUUAGAAUGUAUAUUUAAAUUACAAAAAGUUUACUGUGUUCAUUGAAUCUCUGAGAGGACUUGGAAUAAUUUCUCAAUUCUUCGGAUUCUUUUGGAAACAUGAUGAAGAGCACAAUGUCCUCACAGAAUAGCCCAAAAAUGAAAUAUAAAUAAGCAACAACAGAUAGGCAUUUACUGGCCAUAAAAGCUAUGCGUAUCUUAUAUAGAGCUCUUGUUUUAGGCCUCUUUGGUCUGUGUUCUAACUGAUAAGUCCAAAUACAAGAAAUAUAGGUGAGAAUUAACAGAUUGCAAUUUAUUUGUUAAAAGUUAUAUAUGUAUAAAGGCCCCUUUAUAUUUAAAGGCUCUUAGAUAAAGGCUCCAUUUUAGGCAACUUUGGGGGCAAAAAUGGAUAAUAAAUGGCUUCUCAAAAGGAAGUCUUAUUCAUUAAACUACCUUCUUUAUUGGUAACAUUGAAAACAAUAUCUUAUCAUCUUUAAUUAUUUUGGUAUUCUGAGUUAAACUAACAUUUUGUAACUUGUAGCUGUUGAGUUUCUUGAAUUAUUCAUUGUACAUGUACAUUUUACCCAUUAUCACAACUGUUGGGAUUACAAAUCAAUGAUUUUUAAUAUGUUAGCAUCAAAAUACAGUUCAUUACUUUCUCCACAUGAAUCAGGUGCUUUAACUAAAUUUUUCAUUUUGAUAUUUGCAAGUUAGAAGAAACUCAAGCAGAUCUAAGACUUGAGUAAAGUUUUCAUCUUUGGACCAUUUGUAGAUUUUCUUCUUUCUCAGACCUGAACGGACACAUCAGCAAGUAAGCAUAGUUAUUUUCCAGUAGAAAGAAUCUUAAAAAGUAAGUAAACAAAAUGGACAAAACAAACAAACAGAAAACAGUUUUUCACACAUGGAAAGGAGCUGUUUUUCUUGUUUCAAUGAGGAAAUCCAUCUCCCCUGCAGACUAGAGGCAGUGAUCACGUUGUGGUCCUAAAAUGAAGUCAUCAGACUGCUUAGUAACUUGGGAGGAAAUUAAAGAAUGUUCUGUUUUAAAAUCUCACCAUAAGGUUUUUGGCAUUGCUUGUUUUGUUUGUCAAAUUGCAUCUAAAAUAUUUUGAAUUCAAUGUGUCUCUGAUAGCAAUGACAUAAUCCAAGAAAUGUGACCAUACUUAAAUUGACCUUGAUGACUUCUCUGUGAUCUUUCAUUUUAUGAAAUUUUUAAAUUUGUAAGACACAUGCGGAAUGAAAAUAAAAAGUACCUUUAACGUUUAAA
rnacentral:lncRNA from 1 species